rnacentral:rRNA from 1 species
UACAGAGACUGCAAGCGUUAUUCGGAUUCACUGGGCGUAAAGGGUGCGCAGGCGGUCGGGUGUGUCAGAUGUGAAAUCCCGAGGCUCAACCUCGGAACUGCGUCUGAAACUACUCGACUAGAGUACUGGAGAGGGUAACGGAAUUCACGGUGUAGCAGUGAAAUGCGUAGAUAUCGUGAGGAACACCAGAGGCGAAGGCGGUUACCUGGACAGUUACUGACGCUCAGGCACGAAAAGCAUGGGGGAGCAAAAAGGG